rnacentral:tRNA from 1 species
GGGCCCGUAGCUCAGCCUGGUAGAGCAGCGGCCUUUUAAGCCGNNCGAGGGUUCGAAUCCCUCCGGGCUCG